UUCAAUUCAAUCCAGAAUCACGUGGAACCAAAACUGUGUCUUGGCUGUAAUUUAAAGCACCCAUACAUAAGCACACCACCAAGCCACUUUUCUGUCUGAUACGAUUAUUUAAUGGUGGUCUCAACAAGUCGUGCCCUAAAUUUAGCCCCAAUGUCUUGGGUACUUUGGGGGUGGGGUGGGCUGUAUAUUGGUCUAGAGGGAUAUUUUUAAAUCCAUAAGAUUUGCGGUCUCUGUCCUGUUAUAAUCUGUCAUGAUGGGCCAUAAAUGUGUGUAUGAAAACAACAUAAAGAUCAGCCUAGACGCCGAAUAAGUCAAAGCCGUCGAUAACAGAGCCCCUGUUGGCGCUUUGGGAUUCCGGAAGAGAGGAGCCUGGAACGAAUUGGACUCGUCACCUCGGCGAUUCGCUGAUGCUGUAAACUGUGUUCAAAUUGUGGAACUAAAUGAAGUUCGUGAAAGUCAAGAUCAGCCACGAUGACUGGUUUUACUGAGUAGAAAGACCAACGAUCCUGUUGUGCCACAGUCAGAAGAAUCUGUGGGAGAUAGGCACUGAAAAUCGAGCUAGGAAAUACGAACAUGUAACACGGUUGAAGGGAUCACGAUGGAUUGUUAGACUGUCCCUCUGUGUUGCAAACUACUGCAUUGAGCUUGAAGGUUUGAACAGAAUUUUACAAUUGAGCAGACGCGGGAGUCUUCCUGGAACCAAUGAAAGAUAAAGUUGUUCAUGAGAGCUCACAAAGCGAUGAAAAUAAUGAGGCGUUAAAUCGUUCCUCUGCAUCAGCUAUUCCUCCAUUCAAUAUACCCGACUUGAAGCUAUUUGAGAAGGAAUCUCGAACAACACAGCUUGUUUUUAGCUACCAAGGAGGGAAAAAGGUCAGUUAUGAAUUUAAAAAGAUUAAUUUGGUAAGCAGUUUUUGCUGGAUUAAUGUUGCAGUUCCUAGAGAGUUAUGUUCAAAUGUUUGUAGUAGAUGAAUGCAAAAACCACACAGUAAUAAAUGGCGUAAAGAGAGUUUGUUAUUUAGGGUUUGUCGAGUCUUAGAACUGGCCAAGACCAAAAGUUACAUCACAUUUGUUGCCAGGUAAUAAUAAUAUCAAAAGAAUGUGUCAUCUCAGAUGGCAACCCCAACCUUGUUCCCAGGGUUUCUCUAUCUCUUUGCCCCCAAGAGCUCUUGGGGGUG